rnacentral:rRNA from 1 species
UACGUAGGGAGCAAGCGUUGUCCGGAAUCAUUGGGCGUAAAGCGCGCGUAGGUGGCUUCGUAAGUCCGUUGUGAAAGUCAAAGGCUCAACCUUUGAAAGCCGAUGGAUACUGCGGAGCUAGAGUACGGAAGAGGCGAGUGGAAUUCCUGGUGUAGUGGUGGAAUGCGCAGAUAGUCAGGAGGAACACCAAUAGCGAAGGCAGCUCGCUGGGACGUUACUGACACUGAGGCGACGAAGCGUGGGGAGCGAACAGG